CCUUGUCUCACGUUGUCUAGGGCGACGGCCGUGCGCGCGGGGCCGCCCGGGCACUAGCCCGCCAACUGAACCUCGGUAUGUGCGUCCCGGAAACCGGGUGCAAAUAUUCGCACCCACCGCGAUCAGCGUGAAAAGGCGGCUCCAGGGCAGAAGUAGUUAACAUCUUCGGGGUCUUUGUCCCCGGCCUCUGGUCCAGACCGCUGGAAGUCAGUCUCUUCCAACCAAGUCAGGCCAGAUAGCUAAAAAGAGUGAAAAAGGAGAAUUUCAGGCUUGGCUUGCUUAAACCAAAACUCUGGAGCUAAGGCCCACCAGCAAAACUGGGCUUAUGCAUUCACUACAAUUAUCUUGCCCUUCUGGAGGUGAGUUUGGUUGCGGAUUCGGACUGUCAACGUCACAGAGCUCCAAGUCACGUAAAACGCAGAUUCUCUGGCAACGCCUGAAGUGGGGUCAGGCGGCCCCCUGAUGACUGAGGUACACUGAAGACUGGCUGCCACAAACGAGUGGCAAAUAACUGCACAGAAACGAGUUGAGAUUGUGACAGGCUCUGUAAAGGACAGGAGCCGGGAGAGUGUCCUCCAGUGGGGCCUGGACGUAGCUGAGGCCGCGCGGGAGGGGAUGUGACAGGGAAUACUUACACAAGGAAGGUGUCAAGCAUGAUCGCCAAGUUCCAGGCUUAAGCAGCUGAGAAGGGGAACCUUGAAGAGGUGGGCCCAUCUGGAUGGAAGAGCCGGAGGUUGCUCACCUGGAGACUCCAGCAGCCUCCUCACUGACCUCCCCCACCCCCGCCCCCACCCCGCCCCCAUUCUCUGCACAGCCGCUGACGGUAGACUCCUCAAUCAGGGCACUCCAGGGAUUACCCUGCACGUAAUCAAUCCCAAAUUCCUCCCUCAGUCUCAGUCCUGCAUAACCUGACCCCUGCCUGAUCCCUCCCUCACUACACUCCAGACACAGAGCUAGUCCCAGACAGAGACCGAGGUGUCUCAGCCUCACAUUUCAUGUGUUGUUCACUCCAUUCAGGAAACCGUCUCUGUAAGAAUCAAGAUGCUAGCAAGAUCCCGGAUAAUCUGUCCGCACUCACGUUAAGCUUGAGAAGGAAGCACUGUCCCUCAGGACACACGGCAGUAGAGGAUCCUGUGCUUCCUCAACAGUGGAAUGGCCUGCGAUCCUUGACCUGACGGAGAGACCAACUGGACCCGUCUUUGAGCCCAGCACCUUCCUUCAGGACUUGCCUCACUUGUCGCUGCUCAGGAGCCAAUCAAUAAACAUUUCCUGAGUGGACAGAUCCGGUGCUUCUCUGAACAUCAGCUGGAGGCAGCAGGUGUGCUCGUUCCCGGGGGAAAGGGGCCUCGGCUCGGUGCCACUCACUGCCCUCUUCCCCCAUGAGGACCCCUCCUCCUCGCCCAGGAAACCACAGCUCAGAACUCAAGUGUCUGGAGGGCGGGGAGCAGUGAGAAGCGGCCCCCCAGGAACCCGAGAGUCCCCUGUGCUCUUGCGGGUGGAGACCUCAUUCUCACGGGUGGUCCCGUUUCUGGGGGCCGAGCUCCCGGCAGCUCUGAGUGCCUCCUGAGUGGCCCCGGGCCCCCUGCUCUUUUCUCAUCUCUUGGCUUUGGGAGCACAGCUGCGGCGCUGGCGUCUGGUCCCCAGCACUCUCCCUCUCCCUGCAGUGGCACGAGGCAGCCUUCCGUCUUCUGUGGCCCUUACCCCAUGCCCAGAUGUGAGGGGGCCUGCCUGGUCUCAGAACGGACCCUACAUGGCCCUUGCCAUCCUUCCCGGGAGGCCCCUCUCUGGACAGUUUCCUGAAUGACUUGUGGGACGCGGGAUCCUCACCUCCCUUGUAACAUUCCCUAAACAUCACCACCUCCCUCGAGGACCCUUUAUUGGAUCCAUGUCACUGAUCUGCUUAUAUAUCACCAUUAUAAAGUUUACAAGCCAUGGGGACCCGUGAUCAGACAUUAAACCCCUUUCCACACCUAAGCGCUCUCUAGGCAUCAGGUGGGAGGUGGGCUGGGGUCAUCUACACCAGGAGCUGGAAGCUGUGGCCACUACUGUGGACCGACACUGUCACCAUUUCUUCUCUGGUGCCGAGGUAGCCACAUGGUCCUUUGUGAGGACCUGUGACCACCCACCACUGUCAGUGAUGUUCAAGAGGCUACCCUGUACUGCAGAGCCCCCGUUUCACCAGGGUACCCCAGAGUGGGCUCACAGCGAACCUGUGGAAUAGGAGUGGGGGCCACGGGACGAUUCUUAAGGCUGGAGGAAAAGUUCCCUUCCAACAGAAGGCGCGAGUCUGACUGGGGCUCACGUCCGCCCUGGGUGCUCAUGAAUUCAGGCCAGAUGAUGCCUCUGUUCCCCCACCUUACAGAGGGGUGGACACACAUCCAAACAGCACUUGUUACCUAGCGUUGCUAUCUCUCACGAGGCUGGGAGGGCAGAGGGACUUGCUCACAGCCAAGGGAACUCCCACCCCGAGGUCUCUUCCUGAUCCCCUGACACCUGAACCGCUUCCUGGGGGUGUUCUGUCAGUGCCCUUUGAAUCCUUCAGUUUAGUGAAGUAAUUUCAGUCACAACAUACUCACUGGAUCCAAGUCCAUCCUCUAUACAGAGGUGAGAGCUCCUUGAAGGCACCACUUGCACCACCAGCUCCUUGUCAAAGUUUCUCAGCCUCGUCUGUGUCAGCCUGGGUGCUACACUCACGUUACCCGUGCUCUUGACUCUGAGUAACAAAGUGUGGCUUCGUGACCCCAGGUGGACGCUGACCCCAGCCCCACCCGCCCCUGCAUAUACACACAGCAUCUACUUCCCAGCACAGGCCUUGGGUCAAGGACUUCCUGUCUCCCCGCUGGCUGCCACCCACACUGUUUUGCUUUUUCAGGGUAGCUCUCUUUGGCCGUGCUGCCCAGCUUGCAGUUUCUUAGUUCCCUAACCAGGGAUCAAACCUGUGCCCCCUGCGGUGGACAUGCGGAGUCCUAACCACUGACCAGACAGCAUGUGAGAUACUGUGUCAGGGCUUUCCGGCUCACACAGAAACUUCCUUGCGCCAAGUGCCGGGUUAGCAUCUGGACCACACCCAUGGCCGCAUCCUUUGGCAACAAGAUUGCACGGGAC